rnacentral:rRNA from 1 species
CUUAGGAUGAACGCUAGCGACAGGCUUAACACAUGCAAGUCGAGGGGCAGCAUAAAAGUAGCAAUACUUGGUGGCGACCGGCGCACGGGUGAGUAACGCGUAUGCAACCUACCUAUCAGAGGGGAAUAACCCGGCGAAAGUCGGACUAAUACCGCAUAAAACAGGGGCACCGCAUGGUGAUAUUUGUUAAAGAAAUUCGCUGAUAGAUGGGCAUGCGUUCCAUUAGGUAGUUGGUGAGGUAACGGCUCACCAAGCCGACGAUGGAUAGGGGAACUGAGAGGUUGGUCCCCCACACUGGUACUGAGACGCGGACCAGACUCCUACGGGAGGCAGCAGUGAGGAAUAUUGGUCAAUGGGCGGGAGCCUGAACCAGCCAAGUCGCGUGAAGGAAGAAGGAUCUAUGGUUCGUAAACUUCUUUUGCAGGGGAAUAAAGUGCAGGACGUGUCCUGUUUUGUAUGUACCCUGAGAAUAAGGAUCGGCUAACUCCGUGCCAGCCGCUGC